rnacentral:rRNA from 1 species
GACGUAGGGAGCGAGCGUUGUCCGGAUUCAUUGGGCGUAAAGAGCGCGCAGGCGGUUUGGUAAGUCGGAUGUGAAAUCCCGGGGCUCAACCCCGGACCUGCAUCCGAUACUGCCCGACUAGAGGUAGGUAGGGGAGAUCGGAAUUCCUGGUGUAGCGGUGAAAUGCGCAGAUAUCAGGAGGAACACCGGUGGCGAAGGCGGCAUCCUGGACCGGCAUUGACGCUGAGGCGCGAAAGCUAGGGGAGCAAACGGG